ACAUCUCGCACUAUCAGGUUCGAAUGUGUUCCAGGUGCUGGGGCUGUGUCACCGGGCCUGGACUUCCCCUUCCUGUGUCUAACUGCAGCAGCCGCUGUCCUCGCCGGGCAGCACUUCCUGGUUCCCGUCAGACCCCCUUGUGCCAACAAUGGGUGGCCAUGAGCAUGUCAGGAAUGACUACGGUGGGGUCACUCAUCUGACUGGCAACAUCUGAAUCGCAUUUUCGUGGCCAUUAAGGUCCCAGGGAAGAGGUAGAUAUCUUGGGCAGAUUUUCCUCAAAGGCCGAUGAACCUUGAUUGUGGCCGUACCCUAGGCGUGGAUCCAGCACGGGGCUGCAUUCACCCCCUUGUCCUUCCUCAACGGCCACCAAAAGGGGAGAUUCUUGGAGUUUGUCAGAAAACAGAUGGACUGGAAUUAAGCACCUCCAAAUGCUGGGCUAUGAGACCUACUGCUGUGGACACCAUGACUGGUUGGCUGUGGAGUUCCAGACUUUGAGGAGAAGCUGAUUUCUGCCAGAAAUCUUCAUCUCCUGCUUCGGAGCUUCUGGCUCCACUUAACCCUCCAUGACGUCUUUCGCUGAAGUACUGCCCUGGGUGAAUGAUGACUCCCACAGUCCUCCUGCUCUCCCUCCUCUUCCUCAGAGCACCUGCCCAAUUUAACCCUGAGGUUACGCAAGGCAGGGAAACCCAGGCAGCCGGCUCCCUCGAGCCCGUACGGCCGCGGUUCUGUUUAUAAGAAAUCUCUGCAUUUUCCAUGUAAACCCAGAGAUUUUCGGUAAAUCACGUCAGAAACACGACUGUUCCAUUAUCGGACCCGGACGUGUGACGUAUGUUCUCGCACUUCCCAUAAAGCGAUGAAGCAUGUGAUUGCGCCGUCACAGCAAAUAGCUCAUAUUAUCCGUCCCCCACCCCCAAUUUCAGAGAUGUUUUGUUUGAUAACAUACCCUGGGCCUGUUCUCAGCAAAGCUGCCCCAUGAUUGUGUGGCAAUGAUUGAAUUUCUGUUGUUUUAUUAAGGAUUGAGACAAAACAGCCUGCGACUGAAAUGGGCCCUUAACUUGCGCUAUUAUUUUAACAGCCGAUGUUGUCUCACAGGUAAAUGGGGGGUUGGGGAGUUCUGUUAACUUUCGACCAGCUGACUGUUUUGAUUGUCAUAUCCCAUUGAGAAUAAACAAGGAGGACUGUGUAAAAGAGCCUAACAUGGACCCUCUGCAUCUACAACACUCUGGUGAGGCCUGAAAGAGUUAGGG